GUACCGUGAGGGAAAGGUGAAAAGCACCCCGACGAGGGGAGUGAAACAGUUCCUGAAACCGAACGCCUACAAGCAGUCGGAGGCUCCAUGCGAGCUGACGGCGUACCUUUUGUAUAAUGGGUCAUCGACUUGGUCUAUCUAGCAAGCUUAAGCCGUUAGGUGUAGGCGCAGCGAAAGCGAGUCUUAAUAGGGCGAAUGAGUUAGAUGGAUCAGACCCGAAACCGAGUGAUCUAGGCAUGACCAGGAUGAAGGUAAGGUAACACUUACUGGAGGUCCGAACCCACACCUGUUGAAAAAGGUCGGGAUGAGUUGUGCCUAGGGGUGAAAGGCCAAUCAAACUCGGAGAUAGCUGGUUCUCUGCGAAAUCUAUUUAGGUAGAGCGUCGACCGAAUACCACGGGGGGUAGAGCACUGGAUGGGUAAUGGGGCCCCACAGGCUUACUGAUCCUAACCAAACUCCGAAUACCCGUGAGUACUAGUCGGCAGACACACAGUGGAUGCUAACGUCCAUUGUGGAGAGGGAAACAACCCUGACCUCCAGCUAAGGCCCCUAAUUCAUGGCUAAGUGGGAAAGCAGGUGGGACGACCAAAACAACCAGGAGGUUGGCUUAGAAGCAGCCAUCCUUUAAAGAAAGCGUAACAGCUCACUCAUCAAGCGAUCCUGCGCCGAAAAUGUAACGGGGCUAAAGCCAUUUACCGAAAUUGUGGGCUCGAAAGAGCGGUAGCGGAGCGUUCCGUAAGCCUGCGAAGGUGCACUGCGAGGUGUGCUGGAGGUAUCGGAAGUGAGAAUGUUGACAUGAGUAGCGACAAAGCGGGUGAGAGACCCGCUCGCCGAAAAUCCAAGGGUUCCUGCGUAAAGCUAAUCUGCGCAGGGUUAGCCGGCCCCUAAGGCGA
rnacentral:rRNA from 1 species